rnacentral:piRNA from 1 species
UGCUGUGGUUUAUUUAGGUGACAUUAACAGC